GUCUGUAAUUCUGCCUUUCAAAUAAAUAAAAUCUUUUUUUUAAAAAAAAUAUUAAAUGUUACUGCUUAAAGAACUAUUCAAUUCCUAUAAAGGGACAAGCUACAGAACAUUGCCAGAAUCCUCAGUUAACUACUUCCCUUUACCAAUUUUCUGACUUUACUGAUAAUAAUUUGUUCGUGUGUAAAAAUUGACCAGCCAAGAAUGUGUUUGAUUUAAUUUUGGGAACUAGAAUAAUGUCUUGCUCCUUGAGAUUUGCAUUUUCUUAUGUUCAGGGAUGCUAAUUGUUUACAAUCCCUUAGCUGGACUGUUUAAAUGACCCAAUUUAAGGAUAUAAAAUCUGUGUGAUGGGAAGACUGGGUUACACCUGAUUUAACUUUUACUCUAUCAAUGCAGUUUUUUUCUUCUGGAACCCUUGAGACCACUGGAUAUACUUAGUAUUUUUGUAGCUAUUUUCCAGAUAGGAGAUAUUGUCAAGAUAAAAAUACAAGGUUUCUCUCCUGAAUAUCCUCAUUGAGCUUCUUGCCUUUCCUUAGAUAUUUGCCUCAGUAAUUUUUCACUAUCUUAUUAAUUCUGUGAUACUUCUAUGAAAUUUUCUUUUUAUUAAUUCUGCACUUUAAGAAAUAUUUAUAUAAAUUUUCUAAGAUUGAAGAUUUUUGUGUAUUUUUUUUUUUACUUCUAGUUUCCUAGAAGAUUUCUGAUAUAUAGUUUGGAUCCAGUAAAAUAUUUAUCAAGUAAUUAGAGAUUGAAGUAUAUUUCCAGCCUUUCUGGUUUUUCUAGUAAGUACACUUAAAGCUGCAUUUUUUCUUUGCAUAUCAGUUUGAUAUAUCCUACGUUUAGACAUAGCAAAGCAAUCACUGUUAUUUAUUGACUAUGUUUCAACGUUGAAAUUCAUUUAGUCAAUUUCUGCCUUUGGGAAUUUCUCAAUUUUCUGCAUGGUCUAAUAUUACAUACUUAAUGUCCAUUGUGUUUGAAAACAGUGUGGAAUCUCUGAAUUUAGGGGCAUAGAAUUCAGAUAUAUAUAUAUAUAUAUAUAUAUGCUGUUUAUAUAUGUGCAUAGGAGCUCCAAAAAUUUGUGUAAAACUGAGUUAAAAGAUUAAAAUUUUUAAAUGCAAGCUGUUUUCCAAAUUUCUAUCAAGUGCAAGCCAUUUUCUAAGUAUUGCAACCAGCCAUUUUGUUCAUCAUAAACAAACAGAGGGUCCUAGAAAUUUAACUGUAUCAUCUGUAGUCUGUUUUACAUUAAUGGGGGAGGGAGGGAAGAUUACAUUAACAGAGAAGCAUCUUUAUAAGAUUUUUUUUUUAGGAUUAGGAAACAAAAAAGUCUGCAAGAGCCAAACAGUUGGCAUGAUGAUUCCUGUUGAAAUUGUCAAAAAUAUUACAUUUCAUUAAUGAGAAGACAAAUGAGGAAUGUGAUGAGAAAGAAACACUGUCUCGUGGCAUUUUUCUGAUCAGGUAUGGAUUUCUCCAGGCACUCUUGCUGAGCAGAUGCUAUUAGUCUUUGUCCCUUUAGGAAAUCAACAAGCAGUGCCUUGAGUAUCCUCUUAAGU